GGUGGCGUGUCCGAGCGGCCGAAGGAGCGCGCCUCGAAAGCGCGUGACGGUUCACCCCGUCCGUGGGUUCAAAUCCCACCGCCACCGCCA
rnacentral:tRNA from 3 species